GACGAACGCUGGCGGCGUGCCUAAUACAUGCAAGUCGAGCGGAAGUUGGAGAGCUUGCUCUUCAACUUUAGCGGCGGACGGGUGAGUAACACGUGGGCAACCUGCCCUGCAGAUCGGGAUAACUCCGGGAAACCGGUGCUAAUACCGAAUAGUUUUCGCCACCUCCUGGUGGCGUACGGAAAGACGGUUUCGGCUGUCACUGCAGGAUGGGCCCGCGGCGCAUUAGCUAGUUGGUGGGUAACGGCCCACCAAGGCGACGAUGCGUAGCCGACCUGAGAGGGUGAUCGGCCACACUGGGACUGAGACACGGCCCAGACUCCUACGGGAGGCAGCAGUAGGGAAUCUUCCGCAAUGGACGAAAGUCUGACGGAGCAACGCCGCGUGAGUGACGAAGGUUUUCGGAUCGUAAAACUCUGUUGUGAGGGAAGAACAAGUACCACUUAACUACUGGUACCUUGACGGUACCUCACCAGAAAGCCACGGCUAACUACGUGCCAGCCGCCGCCGUAACAC
rnacentral:rRNA from 1 species